rnacentral:rRNA from 1 species
GCUGGCGGCAGGCCUAACACAUGCAAGUCGAACGGAGUUAUAUUGUAGCUUGCUAUGGUAUAACUUAGUGGCAGACGGGUGAGUAAUGUAUAGGAAUCUACCUAGUAGUACGGAAUAAUUGUUGGAAACGGCAACUAAUACCGUAUACGCCCUACGGGGGAAAAAUUUAUUGCUAUUAGAUGAGCCUAUAUUAGAUUAGCUAGUUGGUGGAGUAAUAGCCUACCAAGGCAAUGAUCUAUAGCUGAUCUGAGAGGAUGAUCAGCCACACUGGAACUGAGAUACGGUCCAGACUCCUACGGGAGGCAGCAGUGGGGAAUAUUGGACAAUGGGCGAAAGCCUGAUCCAGCCAUGCCGCAUGAGUGAAGAAGGCCUUUGGGUUGUAAAGCUCUUUUAGUGAGGAAGAUAAUGACGGUACUCACAGAAGAAGUCCUGGCUAACUCCGUGCCAGCAGCCGCGGUAAUACGGAGAGGGCUAGCGUUAUUCGGAAUUAUUGGGCGUAAAGGGCGCGUAGGCGGAUUAGUAAGUUAAAAGUGAAAUCCCAAGGCUCAACCUUGGAAUUGCUUUUAAAACUGCUAAUCUAGAGAUUGAAAGUGGAUAGAGGAAUUCCUAGUGUAGAGGUGAAAUUCGUAAAUAUUAGGAGGAACACCAGUGGCGAAGGCGUCUAUCUGGUUCAAAUCUGACGCUGAGGCGCGAAGGCGUGGGGAGCAAACAGGAUUAGAUACCCUGGUAGUCCACGCUGUAAACGAUGAAUGUUAAAUAUGGGAAGUUU